GAUGAACGCUGGCGGCGUGCCUAAUACAUGCAAGUCGAGCGAACGGACGAGAAGCUUGCUUCUCUGAUGUUAGCGGCGGACGGGUGAGUAACACGUGGAUAACCUACCUAUAAGACUGGGAUAACUUCGGGAAACCGGAGCUAAUACCGGAUAAUAUUUUGAACCGCAUGGUUCAAAAGUAAAAGACGGUCUUGCUGUCACUUAUAGAUGGAUCCGCGCUGCAUUAGCUAGUUGGUAAGGUAACGGCUUACCAAGGCAACGAUGCAUAGCCGACCUGAGAGGGUGAUCGGCCACAAUGGAACUGAGACACGGUCCAGACUCCUACGGGAGGCAGCAGUAGGGAAUCUUCCGCAAUGGGCGAAAGCCUGACGGAGCAACGCCGCGUGAGUGAUGAAGGUCUUCGGAUCGUAAAACUCUGUUAUUAGGGAAGAACAUAUGUGUAAGUAACUGUGCACAUCUUGACGGUACCUAAUCAGAAAGCCACGGCUAACUACGUG
rnacentral:rRNA from 1 species